rnacentral:rRNA from 1 species
AGCUCCAAUAGCGUAUAUUAAAGUUGUUGCAGUUAAAAAGCUCGUAGUUGGAUCUCGGGUCCAGGCUUGCGGUCCGCCUCGCGGCGGUCACUGCUCGUCCUGGCCUACCUGCCGGUGUGUCCCUUGGUGCUCUUGACUGAGUGUCUCGGGCGGCCGGAACGUUUACUUUGAAAAAAUUAGAGUGUUCAAAGCAGGCUUGUCGCCUGAAUAAUGGUGCAUGGAAUGAUGGAAUAGGACCUCGGUUCUAUUUUGUUGGUUUUCGGAGCUCGAGGUAAUGAUUAAGAGGGACUGACGGGGGCAUUCGUAUUGCGGUGUUAGAGGUGAAAUUCUUGGAUCGCCGCAAGACGAACUACAGCGAAAGCAUUUGCCAAGCAUGUUUUCA